rnacentral:rRNA from 1 species
CGGUGGCGGCGCUGCCUAACACAUGCAAUGUCGGGCGAGAAAAGGGGGGCAACUCCCUGAGUAAAGCGGCGCACGGGUGAGUAACACGUGGGUAAUCUGCCCUGGAGUGGGGAAUAACACCGGGAAACCGGUGCUAAUACCGCAUACGAUCACGGAGUCUGCGGAUUUUGUGAUGAAAGGAGCAAUUCGCUUUAGGAGGAGCCCGCGGCUGAUUAGCUAGUUGGUGAGGUAAUGGCUCACCAAGGCUACGAUCAGUAUCCGGUCUGAGAGGACGGUCGGACACACUGGAACUGAGACACGGUCCAGACUCCUACGGGAGGCAGCAGUGGGGAAUUUUUCGCAAUGGGGGCAACCCUGACGAAGCAACGCCGCGUGGGUGAUGAAGUCUCUUGGGACGUAAAACCCUUUCGACGGGGAAGAAACCGCAAGGUUGACGGUACCCGU